UACGUAGGGGCCUAGCGUUGUCCGGAUUUAUUGGGCGUAAAGAGCUCGUAGGCGGUUUGGUAAGUCUGGUGUGAAAUCUCCACGCUCAACGUGGAGGGGCCACCCGAUACUGCCAUGACUGGAGUCCGGUAGAGGAGUGUGGAAUUCCCGGUGUAGCGGUGAAAUGCGCAGAUAUCGGGAGGAACACCCGUAGCGAAGGCGGCACUCUGGGCCGGAACUGACGCUGAGGAGCGAAAGCGUGGGGAGCAAACAGG
rnacentral:rRNA from 1 species